GAAAUGCCUUGACGAGAUCCAACUGUAAGGCAUUUUCUCUAUUAGUGAUCAAUGGGGGAAAGCCCAUGUGCAUGGUGCAAUCCCUGGGCUGUUGGUCCUG
ensembl:miRNA